rnacentral:misc_RNA from 1 species
AACGCACCUUGCGCUCCCUGGUAUUCCUAGGAGCAUGCCUGUUUGAGUGUCAUUAAAUUCUCAACUUCAUCAGUUUUGUUAUGAGACUGUGUGAAGCUUGGAUGUGGGGGCUUGUGCAGAAUGCUUAAUUGUAGGCUGCUCCCCUUAAAUGAAUUAGCGAGUUCAAACUGAGCUCCGUCUAUUGGUGUGAUAAUUAUCUACGCCGUGGAUUGGACUUAGACUUGCUUCUAACCGUCCGCAAGGACAAUCUUUUGACAAUUUGACCUCAAAUCAGGUAGGACUACCCGCUGAACUUAA